rnacentral:tRNA from 1 species
GGUUCCAUGGUGCUAAUGCGUAGCACUCUGGACUCUGAAUCCAGCGAUCCGAGUUCAAAUCUCGGUGGAACCA